rnacentral:rRNA from 1 species
UACGUAGGGGGCAAGCGUUGUCCGGAUUUAUUGGGCGUAAAGAGCGUGUAGGCGGCCAUACAGGUCCGUUGUGAAAACUGGAGGCUUAACCUCCAGACGUCGAUGGAAACCGUAUGGCUAGAGUGCGGAAGAGGAGAGUGGAAUUCCUGGUGUAGCGGUGAAAUGCGCAGAUAUCAGGAAGAACACCCGUGGCGAAGGCGGCUCUCUGGGACGGUACUGACGCUGAGACGCGAAAGCGUGGGGAGCGAACAGG